GAUGUUUCCAUCGAAACUGUUGUGUCAAAUGGUCCAGGUUUGGGAUUUGUAACCUAUCCAGCAGCUCUGGCCAAACUUCCACUUCCUCAGCUGUGGUCAUUCCUGUUCUUUCUGAUGUUGUUGAUGGUUGGACUGGACACACAGUUCCUGGGAAUUGAAGUCGUGAUUACUGCUCUUAUUGAUCAGUAUCCGCAUCAGUUAGGGAAGAGGAGGAUGGUGGUUACAGGAGGA